UAGGGGGCAAGCGUUGUCCGGAAUGACUGGGCGUAAAGGGAGUGUAGGUGGCGCUGUAAGUUAUAUGUGAAAGCCCGCAGCUUAACUGCGGAACGGCAUAUAAAACUGCAGUGCUUGAGUGCAGGAGAGGUAAGCGGAAUUCCUAGUGUAGCGGUGGAAUGCGUAGAUAUUAGGAAGAACACCAGAGGCGAAGGCGGCUUACUGGACUGUAACUGACACUGAGGCUCGAAAGCGUGGGGAGCAAA
rnacentral:rRNA from 1 species